rfam:Acyrthosiphon pisum strain LSR1 Contig2320, whole genome shotgun sequence.
AUUCAGAGACCAUGAAAGGCGUUGGUUGCUGAUGACAGCAGGACGGUGGCCAUGGAAGUCGGAAUCCGCUAAGGAGUGUGUAACAACUCACCUGCCGAAGCAACUAGCUCUGAAAAUGGAUGGCGCUGGAGCGUCGUGCCUAUACUCGGCCGUCGACGGCAUAGUGGGGCCAGUCGUCGCUCGCGGCGGCCGGUCCCGGCAAGCCUCGACGAGUAGGAUGGCGCGGCGGUGUGCGUCGAAGGGCAGGUCGCGAGACCGCCUGGAGCCGCCGUCGGUGCAGAUCUUGGUGGUAGUAGCAAAUACUCGAGAGGGGCCCUCGGGGGCUGCCGUGGAGAAGGGUUUCUUGUGAACAGCCGUUGUCCAAGAGUCAGUCGAUCCUAAGCCCGGGGAGAGAUCCUCGUACCACGGGCGAAGGCGUUUUCGAAUCGCCCUUGGGGCGAGAGGGAAUCCGGUUCGUAUUCCGGAACCCGACGCGGAACCGCUCCCUAGUGUUCGGGGCUCUUUUGUCUCGUCUGGGUAACCAGAAUGAACUCGAAGAAGCCGCCGGGGGAUCUGGGUAGAGUUCUCUUUUCUCUGUGAGCGUUGUACGUCCCUGGAAUCCUCUAGCCGGGCGAUAGGGACGCGAGCGCGAAGAGCACCGCUCGUUGCGGCGGUGUCCGUGAUCCCCACGCGGACCUUGAAAAUUCGAGAGAGGGCCACGCGGAGUCUUCGCGUCGGUUCGUACCGAUAUCCGCAGCACGUCUCCGAGGUGAGCAGCCUCUAGCCGCAUAGAAUAAUGUAGGUAAGGGAAGUCGGCAAAACCGAUCCGUAACUUCGGGAUAAGGAUUGGCUCUGAGGAGCGUGGCUGCCGGGUUCGGGUCGUCGUAGAAGCGUAGGCGUUUUUGGCGACACCCCGGCCGUCGCCCGUGCGCCCGGUCUUCGGAACGGGAGCCUCGAGGCGGCCGCGGGCCCGUCGCCGUCCGCCGACCGUGGAACCACCGAGCUUCGGUCGCUGGCCGCGUCGCGGCCGGCCGACCGCCUUGGUGUCGGUUCGCCGUCACCGGGCGGUCCGGCCGCCGCGCCGUCGGUCGCGUAGCCGGAUCGACAGCCAUGUAACGGUCAACUCAGAACUGGCACGGACCAGGGGAAUCCGACUGUCUAAUUAAAACAAAGCAUCGCGAUGGCCCGGGACGGGUGUUGACGCGAUGUGAUUUCUGCCCAGUGCUCUGAAUGUCAACGUGAAGAAAUUCAAGCAAGCGCGGGUAAACGGCAGGAGUAACUAUGACUCUUUUAAGGUAGCCAAAUGCCUCGUCAUCUAAUUAGUGACGCGCAUGAAUGGAUUAACGAGAUUCUCACUGUCCCUAUCUACUAUCUAGCGAAACCACAGCCAAGGGAACGGGCUUGGAAAAAUCAGCGGGGAAAGAAGACCCUGUUGAGCUUGACUCUAAUCUGGCAUUGUUCGGAGACAUGCCGAGGUGUAGCAUACGUGGGAGACCCGGACCAAGGCGGGCGGUUUCGGCCGUUCGUCUCCGGGCCGACCUUGAAAUACCACUACUCGCAUCGUUUCCCCACUUACUCGGUAGAGCGGAACGCGCGGUUCCGGCCGCGGGCGCGUCCGGGCCGGCGGUCGUCGUCCCGUCGCGUCGUCGGUUUGCCGUCGGUUCGCCGGCGCGCUACUGGCGCGCGGCGUGGUCGCCGUGCCGUCGGCCUGUGCCCGUUCGUGCCGGGCCGCGGUUGAUAUUCCGGUAGCGUUAAGCACCAGCCGAGGGAUCCGGGCGUCAAACCGCGGACCGCGUCCGUCCGCGUACGGCCGACCGUCAAAAGUCGCCGUCCGCGUUCGCGGCGUAUCCGCGGGCCCGGUCCCUGGUGCGAUCCGUAUUCCGAGGACACCGCCAGGUGGGGGAGUUUGACUGGGGGCGGUACAUCUGUCAAAAAAUAACGCAGGUGUCCUAAGGCCAGCUCAGCGAGGACGGAAACCUCGCGUAGAGCAAAAGGGCAAAUGCUGGGCUUGAUCCCGGACGCUCAGUACGCGUAGGGACUGCGAAAGCAUCGGGCCUCUCGAUCCUCUCGUCCGCUGAAGAGUUUUCAGCGAGAGGUGUCAGAAAAGUUACCACCAGGGAUAACUGGGCUUGUGGGCGGCCCAAGCGUUUC